UACGGGGGGAGCAAGCGUUGUUCGGAUUUACUGGGCGUAAAGGGCGCGAUAGGCGGCCACCGCAAGUCGACUGUGAAAUCUCCGGGCUUAACCCGGAAAGUCAGCCGAUACUGCGGGGCUAGAGUGCAGAAGGGGCAACUGGAAGUCUCGGUGUAGGCGGUGAAAUGACGUAGAUAUCGAGAGGAACACCUGCGGCGAAGGCGGGUUGCUGGGCUGACACUGACGUGAUGCGCGAAAGCUAGGGGAGCGAACGGG
rnacentral:rRNA from 1 species